rnacentral:rRNA from 1 species
ACGGGUGCGGAACACGUACGCAACCUUCCCAAAACUGGGGGAUAGCUUUCGGAAACGAAAAUUAAUACCCCGUAACACAGUGAGAUGGCAUCAUCUUAUUGUUAUAGUUCCGACGGUUUUGGAUGGGCGUGCGCCUGAUUAGGUAGUUGGCGGGGUAACGGCCCACCAAGCCUACGAUCAGUAACUGGUGUGAGAGCACGACCAGUCACACGGGCACUGAGACACGGGCCCGACUCCUACGGGAGGCAGCAGUAAGGAAUAUUGGUCAAUGGACGCAAGUCUGAACCAGCCAUGCCGCGUGGAGGAUGAAGGUCCUCUGGAUUGUAAACUUCUUUUAUCGGAGAAGAAACCCCGGAAACCUUUCUGGGUUGACGGUACCCGAUGAAUAAGCACCGGCUAACUCCGUGCCAGCAGCCGCGGUAAUACGGAGGGUGCAAGCGUUAUCCGGAUUCACUGGGUUUAAAGGGUGCGUAGGCGGGUUGGUAAGUCAGUGGUGAAAUCUUCAAGCUUAACUUGGAAACUGCCGUUGAUACUAUCAAUCUUGAAUGUUGUGGAGGUAAGCGGAAUAUGUCAUGUAGCGGU